UACGUAGGGUGCAAGCGUUGUCCGGAAUUAUUGGGCGUAAAGAGCUCGUAGGCGGUCUGUCACGUCGGCUGUGAAAUCCCGGAGGCUCAACCUCGGGUCUGCAGUCGAUACGGGCAAACUAGAGUAUUGCAGGGGAGACUGGAAUUCCUGGUGUAGCGGUGAAAUGCGCAGAUAUCAGGAGGAACACCGGUGGCGAAGGCGGGUCUCUGGGCAAUAACUGACGCUGAGGAGCGAAAGCGUGGGGAGCGAACAGG
rnacentral:rRNA from 1 species